GACAGAGGGUGCAACCGUUGUUCGGAAUUACUGGGCGUAAAGCGCAUGUAGGCUGCUUCGCAAGUCGGAUGUGAAAGCCCUGGGCUCAACCCAGGAAGUGCAUUCGAAACUGCAGAGCUGGAGUCCUGGAGAGGAAGGCGGAAUUCUCGGUGUAGAGGUGAAAUUCGUAGAUAUCGAGAGGAACACCGGUGGCGAAGGCGGCCUUCUGGACAGUGACUGACGCUGAGACGCGAAAGCGUGGGGAGCAAACAGG
rnacentral:rRNA from 1 species